CCGUCUCUUGCCUCGCUCGGUCAGCAUGUCCUUUCAAUCGUCUGAUCUUGAGCUGGAUACAUCCGUCUUUCGUCCUCAGUGAUGUAGAUGACUUUGUAUGAGACUAGAGGGAAACUACUCAGCCGAUGAUCUUUGAGUACGAUCCUUUCCGAUCUGCUUCCACGGAAUUAGGAAUCGUAAUUUAUCCGUCGGUACAAUC
rnacentral:snoRNA from 1 species